GACAGAGGGUGCAAACGUUGUUCGGAUUUACUGGGCGUAAAGGGCGCGUAGGCGGCGUGACAAGUCACUUGUGAAAUCUCCGGGCUUAACCCGGAGCGGCCAAGUGAUACUGUCGUGCUAGAGUGCGGAAGGGGCUACUGGAAUUCUCGGUGUAGCGGUGAAAUGCGUAGAUAUCGAGAGGAACACCUGCGGCGAAGGCGGGUUGCUGGGCUGACACUGACGCUGAGGCGCGAAAGCCAGGGGAGCGAACGGG
rnacentral:rRNA from 1 species